CAGUCGCCGCGGGAAUACGUAGGGUGCAAGCGUUAUCCGGAAUUAUUGGGCGUAAAGAGCUCGUAGGCGGUUUGUCGCGUCUGCUGUGAAAACUGGAGGCUCAACCUCCAGCCUGCAGUGGGUACGGGCAGACUAGAGUGCGGUAGGGGAGAUUGGAAUUCCCGGUGUAGCGGUGGAAUGCGCAGAUAUCAGGAGGAACACCGAUGGCGAAGGCAGAUCUCUGGGCCGUAACUGACGCUGAGGAGCGAAAGCAUGGGGAGCGAACAGGAUUAGAUACCCGGGUAGUCCCUGUCUCUUAUAC
rnacentral:rRNA from 1 species